GCCCAGAUAGUCUGGUGGUUAGAUGUUCGACUCACAAUCGUUCGCCCGAGUUCAAAUCUCAGUGGGUG
rnacentral:tRNA from 1 species